rnacentral:rRNA from 1 species
AGAGUUUGAUCAUGGCUCAGGACGAACGCUGGCGGCGUGCUUAACACAUGCAAGUCGAACGGAAAGGCCCCCUCGUGGGGUACUCGAGUGGCGAACGGGUGAGUAACACGUGAGUAACCUACCCUUGACUUUGGGAUAACUUCAGGAAACUGGGGCUAAUACCGGAUAGGAGCUCCUGCUGCAUGGUGGGGGUUGGAAAGUUUCGGCGGUUGGGGAUGGACUCGCGGCUUAUCAGCUUGUUGGUGGGGUAGUGGCUCACCAAGGCUUUGACGGGUAGCCGGCCUGAGAGGGUGACCGGCCACAUUGGGACUGAGAUACGGCCCAGACUCCUACGGGAGGCAGCAGUGGGGAAUAUUGCACAAUGGGCGGAAGCCUGAUGCAGCAACGCCGCGUGCGGGAUGACGGCCUUCGGGUUGUAAACCGCUUUCGCCUGUGACGAAGCGUGAGUGACGGUAAUGGGUAAAGAAGCACCGGCUAACUACGUG